rnacentral:rRNA from 1 species
GGACUACCGGGGUUUCUAAUCCUGUUUGAUCCCCACGCUUUCGUGUAUGAGUGUCAGUAUAGGACCAGGUCGCCGCCUUCGCCACCGGUGUUCCUCCAGAUAUCUACGUAUUUCACCACUACACCUGGAAUUCCACGACCCUCUUCCAUACUCAAGUUUUGCAGUUUUGAAUGCACUUCCCGGGUUAAGCCCGGGGCUUUCACAUCCAACUUACAAAACCACCUGCACACGCUUUACGCCCAAUGAUUCCGAACAACGCUUGGACCCCCCGUCUUACCGCGGCUGCUGGCAC